rnacentral:rRNA from 1 species
CACAUGCAAGUCGAACGGUAGCACAGAGGAGCUUGCUCCUUGGGUGACGAGUGGCGGACGGGUGAGUAAUGUCUGGGAAACUGCCCGAUGGAGGGGGAUAACUACUGGAAACGGUAGCUAAUACCGCAUAACGUCGCAAGACCAAAGAGGGGGACCUUCGGGCCUCUUGCCAUCGGAUGUGCCCAGAUGGGAUUAGCUAGUAGGUGGGGUAACGGCUCACCUAGGCGACGAUCCCUAGCUGGUCUGAGAGGAUGACCAGCCACACUGGAACUGAGACACGGUCCAGACUCCUACGGGAGGCAGCAGUGGGGAAUAUUGCACAAUGGGCGCAAGCCUGAUGCAGCCAUGCCGCGUGUAUGAAGAAGGCCUUCGGGUUGUAAAGUACUUUCAGCGAGGAGGAAGGUGUUGAGGUUAAUAACCUCAGCAAUUGACGUUACUCGCAGAAGAAGCACCGGCUAACUCCGUGCCAGCAGCCGCGGUAAUACGGAGGGUGCAAGCGUUAAUCGGAAUUACUGGGCGUAAAGCGCACGCAGGCGGUCUGUCAAGUCGGAUGUGAAAUCCCCGGGCUCAACCUGGGAACUGCAUCCGAAACUGGCAGGCUAGAGUCUUGUAGAGGGGGGUAGAAUUCCAGGUGUAGCGGUGAAAUGCGUAGAGAUCUGGAGAAAUACCGGUGGCGAAGGCGGCCCCCUGGACAAAGACUGACGCUCAGGUGCGAAAGCGUGGGGAGCAAACAGAAUUAGAUACCCUGGUAGUCCACGCCGUAAACGAUGUCGACUUGGAGGUUGUGCCCUUGAGGCGUGGCUUCCGGAGCUAACGCGUUAAGUCGACCGCCUGGGGAGUACGGCCGCAAGGUUAAAACUCAAAUGAAUUGACGGGGGCCCGCACAAGCGGUGGAGCAUGUGGUUUAAUUUGAUGCAACGCGAAGAACCUUACCUACUCUUGACAUCCAGAGAACUUAGCAGAGAUGCUUUGGUGCCUUCGGGAACUCUGAGACAGGUGCUGCAUGGCUGUCGUCAGCUCGUGUUGUGAAAUGUUGGGUUAAGUCCCGCAACGAGCGCAACCCUUAUCCUUUGUUGCCAGCGAUUCGGUCGGGAACUCAAAGGAGACUGCCAGUGAUAAACUGGAGGAAGGUGGGGAUGACGUCAAGUCAUCAUGGCCCUUACGAGUAGGGCUACACACGUGCUACAAUGGCAUAUACAAAGAGAAGCGACCUCGCGAGAGCAAGCGGACCUCAUAAAGUAUGUCGUAGUCCGGAUUGGAGUCUGCAACUCGACUCCAUGAAGUCGGAAUCGCUAGUAAUCGUGGAUCAGAAUGCCACGGUGAAUACGUUCCCGGGCCUUGUACACACCGCCCGUCACACCAUGGGAGUGGGUUGCAAAAGAAGUAGGUAGCUUAACCUUCGGGAGGGCGCUUACCACUUUGUGAUU